CUUAGAUCAAACCAAAAUCUCCACCUUCAGCACAAAAAAAGAAGAAAAUAAGCUAUAGCCAUAAAAUCUGCUAAAGCCAUCGAAAUGACUAGAGUUGAUCUAAACGUCUUUUCAUCUUCUGCUGCCGACACGGAGUCUGAUCCAAGUGUUAUAAACGGCUUGAAACCCUUAUCCUUUCGUCAUCGGGAUCGAUGACGGAUCUACCCAGUACAAACUACGCUGUCAUCGCCAAAACGAAUCAAAACAGCUGCUGAACAAGUUGUGCGCUUCUGGAGGAGGUUUGAUGGAUUGAUGCUAAAGCCAUUGUUCCAGUAUAGGCUAAGAUGACUUCUAAUAUUAUUGACAUAACAGAGGUGUGCCGUGUGUGGCUUGUGCCUUAUUCAAACACUACAUUUUUUGCCAAUUAAAUAGUUCAAUCAGUUCUGAUCGUCUAAUUUUCUCCUUCAGGGACGCGACAUCUUUCGCACCUGCGGCUCGGAUCAUGGUACGUUCUUACAUUUUGUUUCUGUAAAGAUCUGUAUUGAUCGUGUAAGUAAUGUACAAUACAAUAGGCCUUAUAUACAAGAGCCUUAGACAUUAACUAAUAACAAUAGCUUCCUAAAAUAGGGGAUCGUCAUUUUGACUACAGAAUAUAUGGAAACACAAUCGUAUCUCUAACAGUUUCUUCUUCCUCUGCUCUCUUAAAACACUGUAAGUUAUGAUCGUAGAGCUGUGAAAUUUAAGACAGCCGAUUCUAUGUUUCCAGUGCAGAUCGAAGCUCUAAAAUAAGUUGUAAUAAAUAAUUUUGAAUUGUUUACGUUUUGUGAUUUGUAUUAAAUGCCUCUUUGAUGACUUCUAACAAGCUAUUGUGGAAUUGUACUGAUGCAGGAGGAACAGGAGAAUGCUAGAAAUAGAUCUAUUGUUGUUUAGAGCACAGUAGAUUUAGGUUCAUGUAUGUUGAGGUCACCAACAAAUUGAACAAGUACAAUUCCAAAAUUUAACAUCUUGGGGGUAGAGGCGGAUGGAAGUUAUAGGUUGUUGAAACGAGAGAGCUGCUGAAGAAGGAUUUAACAAAUGAGGUACAAGCUUCAUUUCAUAAAAUUAAACACAAUCUUUGCAUUGGCUGAUGGAACAAGCUUUAUUUUUCUUUGUGGUUACAUGAAUCUACUUGAUACGGGUUCGGGUUUGGUUUUGAGCAUGUUUCUGAGAUCGACGUUGACAGAGACCCGUUUUUUUUUGGACAACAGACAAAGAUCCGCUAAAGAAGGUAAAUGGAUUGAUUUCCUAUCUAGGCAAUGCAAAUGUGAUUUCUGGAGAAGCUUCUUGGGCUUUUAAUCAGUCAUCUUUGAGAACUGGAAAGGAGAAAGAGCCUUUGAAACUGAAGGUAUGGUGGAGUGCAACUAUGAUGCUACUUCCAAAAUAACUGGUGGAUGGAUUUUACGUGGUCAUCUUGGCGUAGCUCUCAGGGGAAAACAUGAUCGGCUUUAGAGGCAGAAGCAAUGGUGCUACUCUUAAUCAUUCCAAAGGCCAUGUAUUAUCUCACCUCCUCCACCAAGCGCAUGCUUAUGAGAUCAUGAAUGUGAGCAACAAUAUCAAAUGGUGGGGCUCAAGAAUGUUACCGGUAAAAAGAUGUUGUGUUGUUCUUCGUUCUCUCAAUCACAUAGCACAUCAUAAUCCUCUUUGUAUGUAUAAAUAGUUUAGAUAAAUAUCAGAUACUUUAAAACACAUGAGUCGGUCGUUUUUAGUAUUUUGUAAUCAUUUGUGUUAUAUUAAUAUAAAAAAUUAUAAAUAAAGCACCAGCCUAAUCUCGAUACUAUAUAUAUAUAUAUAUAUUAUAUUUCAACAAAAUAUUAUAUAACAUAUUUAAUAAUUCCUCUUAUUAUACCAUACAAAGUGUUGAUUAACCUGUAUUUUUCUUUCCUUUCAUGUGGGCCAAUAGCAGAUAAAAUGUUACAUCAAUAUAAUCUAUGGAGUCAUCGUUUUGUUUGGGCUUAUAUUACAAAUAUAUUUGCAAUUAUAGAUUCAUAUAAAUAUAAUCCAUAUAGGCUAAACCAAAUAUAAAAUUACUCGAAAAGGUAAAAAUAAAAUAUACCAAUAUAAUAAAACUCUGAUUAGAAAGAAGAAAAUAUGGUUAAACUAAAAAGCAAAUAAGAUACACGAAUUUAUACAAAAGUCUUCUAGAAUGUCAAUAUAAGUAAAUAGAAAAGCUUUAGUCAAAUAAUAAACAAUACAUUUUUUUAAUAACCAUGGGAAUUCUAAAUUUUUAUAGACCCAAAUACUAAUACCACGAAAUCUAGCAUCUGGCUACGUGUGGACAAUUAAAUUCAUUUAAAACGCGGUUAAGUGGCCAAUGCUAUUCAAAUCCAAAAUACAAAUUUUAGCUGAAACCUCUUUCUCACUAGAUCAAACUGCCAAGUCUUGGUUUUUUUAUUAUUUUGUUUGAAAAUACAUCUAUUGCACUAAAAGUAAAUGAUAAAAAAAUUAAAGAUAUUGCAUGUAAAUACACAAUAAAAUGACAGAUAAAAUGAAAUUAAUAUAAAAAUAAAUAACUAAAAAUCUUUUAAAGACUCUUGAAUCAGCCAAAUAUUCAACAAAAAGAAAUCACGCUUUAAUCAACCAUAUCAUUCUUUACAAGAAUUAUAUAAGUUUUUUAAAAGCUUACAAAAAAAUAGCCUCAUCAGUACUUUCCUCCAGGUUAUUAUGUCUACCGUAAAGCAAAUUAACAACAUAAAUCGACAAGCCACAUUGACCAUUAAUUUUCACAUUCGUAAUAAACCUAUUACAUUUGCUUAUAAUAGAUUUCCACAACUUAAAUACAUCGAGUAACACUAAUAAAUAUACUACAAUAAAAUAAAAUAUAAAUACAUAUAUCAACAUGAUCAUAUUCUCAGAAGAGACAGUUUUCCUUGAGGCUAAUGAUGAGUGUCUCUAAAGCUUCAUUUCAAAGGCAUGAACACAACUCCCAGAUUCUCCACUUUCUCCAUAUUCACUUUGUGAAUGAUUCCUUCCAUUUUACCUUUUCUAUUCGUACAACAAAUACAAAUGGUAUUAAGUUUUUUGGUAUAUUCCUGAUUGAAUUUAUGGACUUGGCACGAUGAUAUAUUAGUAGGGUUGAUAUGGAUAGAAAACUCACAUAUCAGCAAUAAACAAAUCUUGAAAUAAUCCAUGAAUUGCAUAGUCUGCUUAGUGUUGUUUAUUAUCGUACUUGAGCCAUCCAUGAGGUAUCUGCCAUUAGCGUCUCCAACGCUUUGACAUGAGCGGAGGCAACAUUUUUUAAGUAACUCUAUUCAUUUACCUUUUCCUCCACCAUCCCAUAUCACAUAUGUAUUUUUAGAUAUUAAAAAGACAAAAAAAUAAA